rnacentral:rRNA from 1 species
UGAGGAAUAUUGGUCAAUGGGCGCGAGCCUGAACCAGCCAAGUAGCGUGAAGGAUGAAGGUCCUACGGAUUGUAAACUUCUUUUAUAAGGGAAUAAAGUCACCCACGUGUGGGUGUUUGUAUGUACCUUAUGAAUAAGCAUCGGCUAACUCCGUGCCAGCAGCCGCGGUAAUACGGAGGAUGCGAGCGUUAUCCGGAUUUAUUGGGUUUAAAGGGAGCGUAGACGGGCCGUUAAGUCAGCUGUGAAAGUUUGAGGCUCAACCUUAAAAUUGCAGUUGAUACUGGCGUCCUUGAGUACGGUUGAGGCAGGCGGAAUUCGUGGUGUAGCGGUGAAAUGCUUAGAUAUCACGAAGAACCCCGAUUGCGAAGGCAGCCUGCUAAACCGCCACUGACGUUGAGGCUCGAAAGUGUGGGUAUCAAACAGGAUUAGAUACCCUGGUAGUCCACACGGUAAACGAUGGAUACUCGCUGUUGGCGAUAGACUGUCAGCGGCUUAGCGAAAGCGUUAAGUAUCCCACCUGGGGAGUACGCCGGCAACGGUGAAACUCAAAGGAAUUGACGGGGGCCCGCACAAGCGGAGGAACAUGUGGUUUAAUUCGAUGAUACGCGAGGAACCUUACCCGGGCUUGAAUUGCAGACGAAUUGCUUGGAAACAGGCAAGCCGCAAGGCGUCUGUGAAGGUGCUGCAUGGUUGUCGUCAGCUCGUGCCGUGAGGUGUCGGCUUAAGUGCCAUAACGAGCGCAACCCUCGUGUCCAGUUACUAGCAGGUUAUGCUGAGGACUCUGGACAGACUGCCACCGUAAGAUGUGAGGAAGGUGGGGAUGACGUCAAAUCAGCACGGCCCUUACGUCCGGGGCUACACACGUGUUACAAUGGGGGGUACAGCAGGCAGCUACCGGGCGACCGGAUGCCAAUCCCGAAAGCCUCUCUCAGUUCGGACUGGAGUCUGCAACCCGACUCCACGAAGCUGGAUUCGCUAGUAAUCGCGCAUCAGCCACGGCGCGGUGAAUACGUUCCC